rnacentral:rRNA from 1 species
AUGGUAGGAUAGAGGCCUACCAUGGUGGUAACGGGUAACGGGGUGUUAGGGCACGACACCGGAGAGGGAGCCUGAGAAACGGCUACCACAUCCAAGGAUGGCAGCAGGCGCGCAAAUUACCCAAUCCCGACACGGGGAGGUAGUGACAAUAAAUAACAAUACGGGGUUCUUUAGGAUCUCGUAAUUGGAAUGAGUACAAUUUAAAUCUCUUAACGAGGAACAAUUGGAGGGCAAGUCUGGUGCUAGCAGCCGCGGUAAUUCCAGCUCCAAUAGCGUAUAUNAAAGUUGUUGCAGUUAAAAAGCUCGUAGCUGAAUUUCGGGGUCAGUAGGUCGGUCGUGCCACUGGUAUGAACUGGUUUUACUGAUUCCUCCCUCUUGAAGAACUGUAAUGCCAUUAAUUUGGUGUUGCAGGGAAUCAGGACUGUUACUUUGAAAAAAUUAGAGUGUUUAAAGCAGGCUUUAGCUUGAAUACAUUAGCAUGGAAUAAUGAAAUAGGACGUUUGAUCCUAUUUUGUUGGUUUCUAGGAUUGACGUAAUGAUUAAUAGGGAUAGUUGGGGGCAUUAGUAUUCAAUUGUCAGAGGUGAAAUUCUUGGAUUUAUUGAAGACUAACUACUGCGAAAGCAUUUGCCAAGGAUGUUUUCAUUAAUCAAGAACGAAAGUUAGGGGAUCGAAGACGAUCAGAUACCGUCGUAGUCUUAACCAUAAACUAUGCCGACUAGGGAUCGGAUGAUGUUAAUUUUUUAAUGACUCAUUCGGCGCCUUACGGGAAACCAAAGUGUUUGGG